GUUUACGCCAUGCCACCCUGAACACACCCGAUCCCGUCUGAUCUCGAAAGCUAAGCAGGGUCGGGCCUGGUUAGUACUUGGAUGGGAGACCACCUAGGAAGACCAGGUGCUGUAGGUG
rnacentral:rRNA from 1 species